rnacentral:rRNA from 1 species
GACGAACGCUGGCGGCGUGCCUAAUACAUGCAAGUUGAGCGCUGAAGGUUGGUACUUGUACCAACUGGAUGAGCAGCGAACGGGUGAGUAACGCGUGGGGAAUCUGCCUUUGAGCGGGGGACAACAUUUGGAAACGAAUGCUAAUACCGCAUAAAAACUUUAAACACAAGUUUUAAGUUUGAAAGAUGCAAUUGCAUCACUCAAAGAUGAUCCCGCGUUGUAUUGGCUAGUUGGUGAGGUAAAGGCUCACCAAGGCGAUGAUACAUAGCCGACCUGAGAGGGUGAUCGGCCACAUUGGGACUGAGACACGGCCCAAACUCCUACGGGAGGCAGCAGUAGGGAAUCUUCGGCAAUGGACGAAAGUCUGACCGAGCAACGCCGCGUGAGUGAAGAAGGGUUUCGGAUCGUAAAACUCUGUUGGUAGAGAAGAACGUUGGUGAGAGUGGAAAGCUCAUCAAGUGACGGUAACUACCCAGAAAGGGACGGCUAACUACGUG